CCUACGGGUGGCAGCAGGGAGGAAUAGUGGUCAAUGGGCGCGAGCCGGAACCAGCCAAGUAGCGUGAAGGAUGACUGCCCUACGGGUUGUAAACGUCUUUUAUAAAGGAAUAAAGUGAGGCACGUGGGCCGUUUUGUAUGUACGUUAUGAAUAAGGAUCGGCUAACUCCGUGCCAGCAGCCGCGGUAAUACGGAGGAUCCGAGCGUUAUCCGGAUUUAUUGGGUUUAAAGGGAGCGUAGCUGGGUUGGUAAGUCAGUUGUUAAAGUUUGCGGCUCAACCGUAAAAGUGCAUUUGAUACUGGCAGCCUUUAGUACCGUUGCGUUAGGCGGCAUUCGUGGUGUAGCGG
rnacentral:rRNA from 1 species